rnacentral:misc_RNA from 1 species
AAAGUCGUAACAAGGUAUCCGUAGGUGAACCUGCGGAUGGAUCAUUACCAAAGAGACGGCUUCUUUCUAGGCCCCUUGGGCCUUUUUUGAGCCUGUCCACCCCACACUUUGUGCACCGUUUCCUGUCUCUGGCGGGCGGCCUCUGUAGAGGUCAGGCUCUCUUCUCCUUUGGGAGAGGGGGUGGGGAAGACCAAAUGGCCUUCUCCACCAAGAGCCAAACCCGCCGGAGGGCUUUUCUGAGCCCUGCCAUUUUUAAACUCUUGCGUGAACCUUUUUAUCUGUCUGAAACAUUUUUACUUUAAAAUGUGAAAACAACUUUUGACAACGGAUCUCUUGGCUCUC